rnacentral:rRNA from 1 species
UGAUCAUGGCUCAGAACGUACGCUGGCGGCACGCCUAACACAUGCAAGUCGAACGAAGUAGCAAUACUUAGUGGCAGACGGGUGAGUAACAUGUGGGUAUCUGCCCUUUGGCCUGGAAUAACACGAGGAAACUUGUGCUAAUACCGGAUAAGUCUUUACGGAGAAAGCUUUAUGCACCAUUGGAUGAGCCUGCACUUGAUUAGUUUGUUGGUGGGGUAAUGGCCUACCAAGACUGUGAUCAAUAGCUGAUUUGAGAGGAUGAUCAGCCACAUUGGGACUGAGACACGGCCCAAACUCCUACGGGAGGCAGCAGUGGGGAAUCUUGCACAAUGGAGGAAACUCUGAUGCAGCGAUGCCGCGUGAGUGAAGAAGGCCCUUGGGUUGUAAAGCUCUUUCGUCGGGGAAGAAAAUGACUGUACCCGAAUAAGAAGGUCCGGCUAACUUCGUGCCAGCAGCCGCGGUAAUACGAAGGGACCUAGCGUAGUUCGGAAUUACUGGGCUUAAAGAGUUCGUAGGUGGUUGAAAAAGUUGGUGGUGAAAUCCCAGAGCUUAACUCUGGAACUGCCAUCAAAACUUUUCAGCUAGAGUAUGAUAGAGGAAAGCAGAAUUUCUAGUGUAGAGGUGAAAUUCGUAGAUAUUAGAAAGAAUACCAAUUGCGAAGGCAGCUUUCUGGAUCAUUACUGACACUGAGGAACGAAAGCAUGGGUAGCGAAGAGGAUUAGAUACCCUCGUAGUCCAUGCCGUAAACGAUGUGUGUUAGACGUUGGAAAUUUAUUUUCAGUGUCGCAGCGAAAGCGAUAAACACACCGCCUGGGGAGUACGACCGCAAGGUUAAAACUCAAAUGAAUUGACGGGGACCCGCACAAGUAGUGGAGCAUGUGGUUUAAUUCGAAGAUACGCGCAGAACCUUACCAACACUUGACAUGUUCGUCGCGAGACUAAGAGAUUAGUCUUUUCAGUUCGGCUGGACGAAACACAGGUGCUGCAUGGCUGUCGUCAGCUCGUGUCGUGAGAUGUUGGGUUAAGUCCCGCAACGAGCGCAACCCUCACUUUUAGUUGCCAUCAUUAAGUUGGGCACUCUGAAAGAACUGCCAGUGAUAAGCUGGAGGAAGGUGGGGAUGACGUCAAGUCCUCAUGGCCCUUACGUGUUGGGCUACACACGUGCUACAAUGGUAUCUACAACAGGAAGCAAGACUGCGAAGUUAAGCAAAUCCCUAAAAGAUACCUCAGUUCGGAUUGCACUCUGCAACUCGAGUGCAUGAAGCUGGAAUUACUAGUAAUCGUGGAUCAGCGUGCCACGGUGAAUGCGUUCCCGGGUCUUGUACACACCGCCCGUCACACCAUGGGAGUUGGUUCUACCUUAAGGCAAGGUUUCAAACCCUUGACCACGGUAUAGUCAGCGACUGGGGUGAAGUCGUAACAAGGUAGCCGUAGGGGAACCUGCGGCUG